rnacentral:sRNA from 1 species
AGGGCGUGCCUUUCAGGCAUCCUCUCCCAAAACUUCCAAGCCCGGUCUUCGGACCGGGCUUUUUUCUUGCCUGCU